UACGUAGGCAGCGAGCGUUGUUCGGAGUUACUGGGCGUAAAGGGUGUGUAGGCGGUUGUUUAAGUUUGGUGUGAAAUCUCCCGGCUCAACUGGGAGGGUGCGCCGAAUACUGAAUGACUUCGAGUGCGGGAGAGGUGAGUGGAAUUCCUGGUGUAGCGGUGAAAUGCGUAGAUAUCAGGAGGAACACCUGUGGUGUAGACGGCUCUCUGGACAGUAACUGACGCUGAGACACGAAAGCGUGGGUAGCAAACAGG
rnacentral:rRNA from 1 species